AAUUAGCCCUGAUUGAAGCGCAAAGCCCGCAUCCCGAUUUUUCAUCGGGAGAGGACCUGGAGCAAAAAGCAGGAAUACUG
rnacentral:sRNA from 1 species